rnacentral:lncRNA from 1 species
CUUUUUUUCUUUUUUUUUUGGCGGCGGGGAGACGUAUCCCUCUUGUCACCCAGGCUGGAGCGCAAUGGCAUGGUUUCUGCUCACUGCAACCUCCGCCUGCAGUGUUCAAGUGAUUGUCCUGUCUGACUCCCAAGUAGCUGGGAUUACAGGUGCCCACCACCAUGCCUGGCUGAUUUUUGUAUUUCCAGUAAGACGGAAAUACAUGUUGUCCAGGCUGCUCUGGAACUCCUGACCUUAGGUGGUCCACCCGCCUUGGCCUCCCAAAGUGCUGGGAUUACAGGCACGAGCCAUAGUGCCCAGCCCUCUCUCAUUUCUUCUUGCAGGUGCUCCAGGAACCAGGAGUUGAAGACCAGGGUCUGAGUUGCACUUCUAAAGCCAGCACAGCAGAGGAGGCGCAGGCAGUGCUAGGAGUCAAGGUUCCCACUGAACAAACGCCCUAGGAAGACAGGCGAUCUGUGAAGCCUACAGUACCAUCUUAAGAGAAGGAGAGUUGUAAGGCAGCCUUUUGUCAGAGUCAUCAUGGACAAGGAGAAGCCUGCUGCUGGGAUGCCGAGUCUUCUCCAGAGUUCUCCUGAGAAUCUUCAGAGUCCUCCUGAGGGGCCUGACCAGUCUCCUCUCCAGAGUCCCGUGAGCUCCUUCGUCUCCUCUUCAUUGAGUCUUCAGAGUCCUCCUGAGAGUCCUCAGAGUCCACCUGAGGGGCCUGACCAGUCUCCUCUCCAGAGUUCUCUGAGCUCCUUCGUUUCCUCCACUUCACUGAGUCUUCCCCUGAGUUUCCCUGAGAGUCCUCAGAGUCCUCCUGAGGGGCCUGCCCAGCCUCCUUUCCAGAGUUGUGUGUGCUCCUUCUACUCCCGUUCAGUGAGUUUUCUCCAGACUUUCCCUGAGAGUCCUUGGAGUCCUCCUGAGGGGCCUUCCCAGUCUCCUCUCCAGAGUCCUGUGAGCUCCUUCUCAUCCACUUCCCUGAGUCUUCCCCCGAGUUCCCCUCAGAGUCCUCCUGAGGGGCCUGCCCAGCCUGCUUUCCAGUGUUGUGUGUGCUCCUUCUCCUCCAGUUCAGUGAGUUUUCUCCAGACUUUCCCUGAGAGUCCUUGGAGUUCUCCUGAGGGGCCUUCCCAGUCUCCUCUCCAGAGUCCUGUGAGCUCCUUCUCAUCCACUUCCCUGAGUCUUCCCCUGAGUUCCCCUGAGAGUCCUCAGAGUGCUUCUGAGGGGCCUGCCCAGCCUGCUUUCCAGGGUUGUGUGUGCUCCUUCUCCUCCAGUUCAGUGAGUUUUCUCCAGAGUUUCCCUGAGAGUCCUUGGAGUUCUCCUGAGGGGCCUUCCCAAUCUCCUCUCCAGAGUCCUGUGAGCUCCUUCUCCUCCUCCCGCUCUUCCCAUUCCUUCCACUCGUCCCCCUCCACCCCCUCUUCAUCAUCCUCCUCCUCCUCCCCUCCCUACCCCUCCUCCUUCUCCUCCUUCUACCCCUCCUCCUCAUCCUCCCCCCACUCCUGUUCAUUGAGUUUUCUCCAGAGUUCCCCUGAGAGUCCUCAGAGUCCUCCUGAGGGGCCUGCACAGUCUCCUCUCCUGAGUUUUGUGAGGUCCUUCUCCUCCAUUUCACUGAGUUUUCCCCCGAGUUCCCCUGAGAGUCCUCAGAGUCCUCCUGAGGGGCCUGUGCAGUCUCUUCUCCUGAGUUUUGUGAGGUCCUUCUCCUCCAUUUCACUGAGUCUUCCCCUGAGAUCCCCUGAGAGUCCUCCUGAGGGGCCUGCCGAGUUUGCUCUCCAGAGUUUUGUGUACUCCUUCUCCUCCACUUCACUGAUUCUUCUCCAGAGUUUCCCUGAGAGUCCUCCUGAGGGGCCUUCCCAGUAUCCUCUUCAGAGUCCUGUGAGCUCCUCCUCCUCCUCCUCCCCCACCUCCUCACCCCCCUCCUCCUCUUCCCCCUCCUCCUCUUCCUCCUCCUCCUCCUCCUCUUCCUCCUCUUCUUCCUCUUCACUGAGUCUUCUCCAGAGUUCCCCUGAGAGUCCUCAGAGUCCUCCUGAAGGGCCUGCCCUGUCUGCUCUCCAGGGUCCUGUGAGCUCCUUCUCCUCCAGCCCAUUGAGUCUUCCCCUGAGUUUCCCUGAGUGCCCUCAGAGUACUCCUGAGAGGCCUGCUGAGUGUGCUCUUCAGAGUUUUUUGUGUUCCUCCUUUUCCUCCACUUCACUGAGUCUUCUCCAGAGUUUCCCUGAGAGUCCUCAGAGUCCUUCUGAGGGGCCUGCCCAGUCUCUUCCACAGAGUCCUAUGAGCUCCUUCUCCUCCCGCUCCUCCAGUUCAUUGAGUCUUCUCCAGAGUUCUCCUGUGAGUCCUCAGAGACCUUCUGAGGGGCCUGCCCAGUCUACUCUCCAGAUUUUUGUGUGCUCCUUCUUCUCUGACUGUUUGAGUCUUCUCGAGAGUUCCCCUGAGUGUCCCCAGAGUCCUCCUGAGGGGCCUUCCCAGUCUGCUCUCCAGGGUCCUGUGAGCACCUUCUCUAGUCCAUUGAGUCUUC